GAUGAACGCUGGCGGCGUGCCUAAUACAUGCAAGUCGAGCGAAUAGAUUAAGAGCUUGCUCUUAUGAAGUUAGCGGCGGACGGGUGAGUAACACGUGGGUAACCUGCCCAUAAGACUGGGAUAACUCCGGGAAACCGGGGCUAAUACCGGAUAACAUUUUGAACCGCAUGGUUCGAAAUUGAAAGGCGGCUUCGGCUGUCACUUAUGGAUGGACCCGCGUCGCAUUAGCUAGUUGGUGAGGUAACGGCUCACCAAGGCAACGAUGCGUAGCCGAGCUGGGAGGGUGAUCGGCCACACUGGGACUGAGACACGGCCCAGACUCCUACGGGAGGCAGCAGUAGGGAAUCUUCCGCAAUGGACGAAAGUCUGACGGAGCAACGCCGCGUGAGUGAUGAAGGCUUUCGGGUCGUAAAACUCUGUUGUUAGGGAAGAACAAGUGCUAGUUGAAUAAGCUGGCACCUUGACGGUACCUAACCAGAAAGCCACGGCUAACUACGUGCCAGCCGCCGCAGUAA
rnacentral:rRNA from 1 species